rnacentral:rRNA from 1 species
AGGGAAUAUUGGACAAUGGGCGAAAGCCUGAUCCAGCCAUGCCGCGUGGAGGAUUAAGGCCCUCUGGGUUGUAAACUCCUUUUAUCUGGGAAGAAACACCUCUAUUUAUAGAGACUUGACGGUACCAGAGGAAUAAGCACCGGCUAACUCCGUGCCAGCAGCCGCGGUAAUACGGAGGGUGCAAGCGUUAUCCGGAUUCACUGGGUUUAAAGGGUGCGUAGGUGGGCUAUUAAGUCAGUGGUGAAAGCCCCAGGCUCAACUUGGGAACUGCCAUUGAUACUGAUAGUCUUGAAUUUGGUAGAGGUAGGCGGAAUGUAACAUGUAGCGGUGAAAUGCUUAGAUAUGUUACAGAACACCGAUUGCGAAGGCAGCUUGCUAUGCCAAUAUUGACACUGAGGCACGAAAGCGUGGGUAGCGAAC